UAUUGCUUCUUUUCAUUUUCUCCUUUGUCUUCUUUUCACAUUUCCCAGAGUUCUUCAGUAUUCAUGACUUCAGGUAUCAUCUGUGUGAAGGUGACUGUCAAAUUCAGGGUGGAGUCAUUUCUAACUCUCAUUUAGAGACUAGCACAGUUUAAACUAGUAGAUGCUCAGCUAAUAUUUGUGCAUGAGUAUAUGAAUGAAAUUAAGCAUUGAAAGCAGUUUAUUGAAUCAUUUAUUGAAUAGGCAGAGAAAUCCAAAUAGGGUGUUUAGAUUUGUUUUUCUAAGCUAAGCCUUAAAUCCAUUAGGCGAUAAUAGAAUUAGCAUAAAUGGGGAUUUUAAAACCAAGAUCCCAAAUAUACCUUCUUCUAAUCUCCCCAAAGUAAAGGGAUCUCGUUACCUCAUUGAAAUAGUGCAUUGUAUAUGAGAAGUAUAUUGGAGUAUACCGGAAGACACUCAGUAGGAUGGGUUAACACAGUGACUGGAACAGUGGACUCAAGCAUAGCAGCGACUGUGAGGAGGGGGCAGGAAGGGGCAAUGUUCGUUCUGUUGUACCUCGGGGCACUGUGUGUCGGAACCAACUCUGCAGCACCUAACAAGAACAACAACAUAUUGUAUAUUUUGUAAUGUGGGGAGAAAUUUCAGUGCAUUUAUCUUUGAAGUUAAAAAAUAUGACAGUAAUAGGUUUUAUAAAGUUUCUUGUAAAAACAGAAUGCUUUUUGACCAUAUGUGCUUGAAACGUUAUUGGUAGGUUUUGUGGCCACGAUAACCAAUUCUAGAAGUGUAUUUCUAUCAUCUUUGUACAUCUCUGUGUUAACCAUUUGCUAUUAUUUUACAACUAUUUAAAGGAAAGUAUGGUUGAAUGGUAUUGGGAUGAAAUGGUAUAUUGUCAGAUUUUCUAAUUGCUUGGAGAUAAUGGGAAUGAAAAAAAUUGGCACUAUUUUGGAAAGAAAUAUGAGUAUGCAUGGAACUAGAAAUGGCCAGAAGCUUAAAUGUAGGGUUCUAGUUUGCAAUGUUUUAGCCAUGUUUGGUGGGGGUACAGGGGUAGGAGGGAGAGACUUACAGGAUUGUUUAUAGGCAAGAUUCUUUUCUAUGAAUAAGCCUAGGAUGUCCCUCCUCCCUUUAAUGUAAAGAGAGAGAAGGAUAUUCAGCUACCAGUGACUUAGCUUUCACUCACAGUGUUGUUGAUAGCUGCUGUUGGGUUGGCCCCCAACUCAUUGCAAGCCCGUACACGGCAGAAUGAAAGGCUGCCUGGUCCCGUCCUAUCCCCAUGAUGGGUUGCAGAUCGGACCUUUGCGAUCCAUGGGGGCGUUUCAUUGGUUGAUUUUUUUAGAAGUAGAUCACCAGGCUUUUCUUCCUAGUCCACCAUAGCCUGAAAGCUCUGCUGAAACCUGUUAAGCAUCAUAGCAACAUGCAAAAUUCAACUCUUAGGGACUAAAGGGGCACACCAGCCCUGGGGCAAGGACUAGAAGGCAGGAGGGGACCCGAAAGUUGGUAAUAGGGAACCCAAGGUCCAGAAGGGAGAGUGUUGACACGUCGUGGGGUUGUUAACCAGUGUCAUAAAACGAUAUGUGUACUGACUGUUUAAUGAGAAACUAGUUUGUUCUGUAAACCUUCAUCUAAAGUACAGUAAAAAUAAAAGUUUACAGAAGAUUUGAAAUCACAAAACAAAACUCUUAUGGAUAGUGGCUGCGCAUGAGGUGCGAUGACCAGGAAUCAAACCCAGGUCCCCCGCGUGGAAGGGGAGAAUUCUACUGUUGAGCCAUUACUGCCCUCAGAAUCGAGUUGGCUAAAUACCAGACUGUUUCAGGAAAACAGUCAACAUUUUUAGAGCUCCUGAUUGUCAGGGCAUGAAUGAAUAAAUAAAUGAAUGCAGAUAUCAACUCUGCAACAAAGUUUCCAUUUGAGAAUCUCAGAAAAGCAGUAGGUAGUUACUAUAUCUUUGGGCCUCUCUGAAUCUCAGUUUCCUCCUUCUGUAAAAAGAAAGGAUUGGUCAGGUCAGAAACUUUUAAAAGAAACAUUUUUUCCAGACAGAUUUUUGCUGGGGGCUAUGGAAUAGGAAAAACAAAAGUGGAGGUGCUUUGUGGAAGUGAUGUGAGAAAGGAGGGGGCCAGCCGUGAUUCUUCUCCUGAUCACCUUCCUCUUGUCUGUGGCAGCUGCCAGGGCAUCUCCUCUCAGGAGAGCAUCAUCUGAAAACCAGCAGGGGGUGUCCUCGAGAGUCUGCGAUUUUGAAACGGUGGAAUUCAAACAUCCCUGUACUGAACCUCCUCCAAAAUUCCCUAUCCUGCAUUAUACACUUGUAAGAAACAAAAGGUUAACCAUAUCGUGGUUACAUGCCGAAGUAUUCAUGGAUCAAAUAAUACAGCGUCUUGGGUUUGCUUCAUAAUAGUUUACGGUUGAAGAGUAGAUACAGCCAUUUGCCCAUGGUUUGAUAACUCUUGGAGUUUGGUGCGAUUCAUUAUACUGUUCUCACUAGUCUAAUACGUGUUUGAAAUCCUUCAGAAUCAGAGGUUUACAUUUUCUGCAAUAUUUAUCGUGGGGACUAGCACAAUUUUAAACUUUCUUAUGAACUAUCACAUAAUUUUUCAUUUAUUUGGGGCUUAUCAGUGGUUGUGCCCCACGCAGACACCUACGUACCAGUAGUCAAGUUAUAGUAAAGUGGCACCAGGUUCCCUGUGCCGUCAGCCAGCAUGUCAGUUGGCAUGUAAGCCAAACCAGUAUUUCACUGUUUAUGUCUCUGAUGUGUGUAAUUUGGAGGUGGGGUGGGGUAGAGGGUGGGAUGGAAAGAGGUAGGCUCCUUUACCUUAAACUUUAAUGUCUGCCUAUGGUAAUUAUUUAGCCUUUCGCAUUUUAUACCAAAAAAGAAAAAAUGUUUUGUAAUCUCAAAAUGUGGGGGAAAGAGACUGGACUAAGAAACUCAAACAUCUCAAAUUACUGCCUUUACCUCCAGGGAGCAGAGAUGGGAUUUGUUUCAUUUUUAAGACAAUUAAGUUUAUUUUAAAAAUAUGAACUUGGCUCACAGUGUGUGGGCUGCUGAAGAUGGCUGUGAAAAGUAUGGAUGGAGUCUUCAGAGACUGGGUCCCAAGUCUUGUAUCACCGCUUACUAAUUGACCUUUGCAAGUUGAUUAUUGUUAGGAGCUUAAGUUUCUCCAUUUGCCAGCUGAAUAUGAUUUAUAAAAGGAGAAAGUGUUUUGAUAGUAACAGAUUUAGAGCUGCUCAAGGAGGAUUUAUUGUGUUUCAUUUUGAAUAUCAAAUGAUUACAUGCUUUCCAUUUUUCCUAUUUGGGAGGCGACAUCUGUUUGGAAAGCAGAAAAUCAACUGUGCUUUGUUUCCUAAGUGCCUUGUGUUAUUAUUUCACUUGUUGGAUUCAGCUGUCUUCUCUCCCUUGGAAGACACCAUGUUAAAAGUGUUAGAGCCACGUAAGAUGUAGGAGUGAGGUGCCUCAGAGUCUAGCAACAAACAUUCUCAUCAAGUAUGAUGAGAUGGUGAAGGAAAAACCCAAGGUCAUGUGUGCAGUCAGAAUUCUGAUGGUUCUUGACAGCUUGAGGCAGUGCCAGGCUUCAGGCCAUGAUAUCGAUGUUUAGGGCCAAAUCAGUGGGAGAUGAAGUGGAGAAAAGCCUCCUGACUUCUCUUUCUGCUGCUUCAGCUUUGGAAGUACGAGAUGGAGUGCUCAUGUUAUUGAAGAACCCAAGUGUACGUAAUGGUGUGACUUUAGCAGCUUCUACAGAGCCCUGCGUCGUCCUCUGGGAUGGUGGCCUGUGAGCUCUGCUGGAAUACUGACUCAGACUGUCUAAAUUUAGAUGAAAAUAUUAAGCACAAUGUAAGGUAAAUUGACUUCCAGCAAUUAGAGGCGAUCUAUACCUGACUAGCAAAUGUAUGAUUGAUUUCUGAAUAAGAAAAUACUGAUGUUGCCUUAUGAACCAUUACAAUUUUUUUUUCUGAUUAUUGUAUUUGUGCUCAGAUUAAUUAAACUCUACCAGGUAAUUUUCCCCCUUGAUACAUUCUCCCUCCUAUUCCAGGAAGCAUAAUGCACCCAUAUGACUCUUAAAUGCUUGCUCAUGAUAAAAUGUUGGUUUUGUCCUUUGAACUGCUUGUUCCCUCCCUUCACUUUUGCUACCAUCUUAACUCUCAGUAAUUGGUUUGGUGAGUUUUUUCCACUUAGCCUAGAAUUUUUGCGUUGUUUGGCAAAUAAAUGGUUGAUGUGGUGUUGCUUUUUAACACAGAAUUAUUUCCUUUAUUUCAGGGCAGUUUUAUUUGAAAGGAUUAAGUUUUAUCAGAUAAAACUGUCUCUUGAAAUAGUCCGGUGGUCAUUUGUCUUUAAUAGAUUAUUGCUAUGGAAGAGCAGAAAUGACUACGGCAAACAGUUAAUGCACUUGGCUGCUAAGCGAUAGGUUGGAGGUUUGAGUCCACCCAGAGGCACCGCAACACAAGUCUAGUGAUCUGCUUCGGAGGAAUCGGCCGUCGAAAGCCCCGGGGAGCAGUUUUACUCUGGAUCGUGGGUCCCUGGACCACCAUGAGUGGGAGUUGACCUGACAGCAGCUGGUUUUGGUUGGUGAGAUAGGGCUUAGCUCAUUGACUUCUGAUACAACCGUUGUUAGAGGGUUAGACGUCUCUCUUACUUAUAUUCAGUCCCCAUAGUUCAUGAGUUUAUUUGAACCAUCCUCAGCAUUUCAUUGUUUGAUUUGUUUUCUUAUUAGAUCCUGAGCUGUUUGAAAACCCAGUUAUUUUGGUUUUUUUUCUGUUUUCCCAGCUUAAUAAUCUGGACUGGUGCCAAGUUAGCUUUGAUUACAUUUUUGCUUCCUUACUUACGAACUGCCAUGGAAGAGAUCGUUCUGUUGAAUGCUUUACGAUGCUUGGAUAAAAGCUCGAAUUAAAGGAUAGGAUAGACACAGAGUUUAUUCAAGUGUGCUUUUGAUGUCCUGAAGACCCAGGUGUCAGUUUUGUUUAUAAAGAGAUGAGAGCAAGGAGUUUUCUUGCCCUACAGUCAGGAAGGUUUAAGUUGUUUUACAUCAUUUAUGUAAUGUUUAAAAAAAAUGUGUGUGUAUGUCAACUACAGAUGUAACUGAAAUGGUCACCCUGAGCUCCAUGGUUCUCCUCUCCUCAAGCAUUUUUCUAGAGCCUGUCUUGCACAUUGUUCUUUAGAAAUAGUAUUUCUUGAAGGCUGAUGUUUGAGGUGGGAAAUGGGCACUGGGUUUGGCCUCUUUGUGGCAGAGUAGAGGCAAAGCUCCAGGAGGAAGAGGAGGGGGGUGGUGAUGUCACGAGGGAGGAAACAAGCUGAACAAAGUCAGCCCCUAUUCAGCCAGUUCAGUACCUGUCCUGUUUGAGGUUAGGGCCUCCCACCAGGAGGCUGUGAAAGGGAAGGGAAAGGAUGAAUAUGGGGCUAGCUUCUGCUCUCCCUUGUGGCAGCUGCCAUCUUCCACAUCACACCCGUUCUUCAGUGACCCUUACAUUGAUUCAGUAUGCCCACCCUUCAAUUCAGUUUUUGUAUCAAUGGGGAUUAGGAGAGAAGUAGAUGAUUGAUGAGGAAAGAGAAGAGAUAAGUAAGUAUGGGAUUUUUUAAAGCUCAUUUCAUAACAUAUUAGCUUAGAAUAUCAUUAUAUUACAUUCUAGAUUUUGCCUGAUUCCCUGAGAACAUUUGGAAGCUUAUAUAGAACAUUGCCCUUAGUCUUUAUGUUCUCGCAAGGUCCUUCCCGAAGCUGUGCCUAAGUGUACCUACUCCACAGCUUUCUGACUCCGGCACCUGGCCGUGACAGUGCCUCUGGAGAGAUGCCACUGUGUAAGUGUUCAGGGACACACAUGGCCAUUUUCACCACAAAUAUUCUGAAAUUGAGGGACUAUUUAGAAAGCAGGUUGUCACUCAGUUUUUCUGCAGUUGUAAUAUGGCAGGAAGAGAAACAUAGGAAUAGCCAUGACUAAGAAAACACGUAUGUAACACUCACAGUAAAAUAGUAUCAAAUACCCCACAACAAAGUGUGUCUGCUAGCUUGCAGUUCUUAUCAUCAGCCUCCUUAUAAUCUUCAAGAAAGGUGAGCAAGGAGAAAGAGGAGUGAAAGUUUAGGCUCCUUUACUGCCCUCUUUCUUGAGGACUGAAAUAGAGGUUAAGUGCUCGCUUACUAGCCGAAAGGUUGGCUGUUUGAACCCACCCAGAGGCUCCUCAGAAGACAGCCCUGGUGAUCUACUUCUGAAAGGUUCCAGCCUUGAAAACCAUAUGGAACACAGUUCUACUCUGAAGCACAUGGGGUCACCAUGAGUUGAAAUCAACUUGAGGGCAACCAACAACAACAUCAUCCCUGUUUUCAUUCUUCCAAGCCUCUUCAUGAGGGCAUAACCCAGUGUGAAAUACUCUAAGAACCCACACUGACUGGCCUCCAGAUGUGCUACUUGUACCAGAGAAUGCUGUCAGGAAGAGGGUACCCUGGUCAGCACUCGGGGACUUCCGUGUUCUCUGGCCCUGGGUUGAACAAUGAGUCCAUUUGUGGCUUCUGGCUUGGAGAAACUUAGAAUGCAGCAGACUGACUUGGACUCCUGCAUAACUGACCGCUUUAGUAUGUCUACCUUUAUAACUACCUCCUCCCAACCCUUCGAGUUUCUGAUGCAGACACAGCUGUUCUAGCUUGUUAAGUGACACGCGUGCCUCUUACAGUGAUAAGGGCCCAUGUGCUUGGAUAAAGGGUCCUUAAGGUCUAAGGAGGAAACCCUGGUGGCGUAGUGAUUAAGAGCUAUGGCUACUAACCAAAAGGCCGGCAGUUCGUAUCCACCAGGCACUCAUUGGAAACUCUAUGGGGCAGUUCUACUCUGUCCUGUAGGGUGGCUAUGAGUCAGAGUUGACUCCACGGCAGUGGGUUUUUUUUAAGGUCUAAGAACCAUCACUUAAGAGCCUCAAUUUAGCCCUCCUGUAUCAGUCUGGGUUGAAUCAGGAGAGAAAAAAAAUCACAUAGCAAUUUGAACAGGGAAGGUUUAAUAUAAAGAUACAAAGAAGUAUUGGCUCUAAGAGAGGGUUGGAGUGACAAGGGGUCAGCUUAGUAAGAGGAGAAUGCUAAAGCCUGUAGGAGCAGCAGAUACAAGGAGCAGCCUACCCUUAGGGCUGAGAUAGAGCCCCCAAGGAGGAGCUCCCCUCUCCCCCUUGUCCCUUCCUCAUCCCCAGGACACACUGCCCUGAAUCACUGAAUACAGAGGAGUUGCUAAGGUGCUGCACCAGUGAAACUUGUUGAAAAUCUGAACUCACAGGACAUCUAACCUCUAGGGUGCCGGGAAGGCUGUCCUUGGUGAGUUGCCUCACUAGAGGCGCUGCACUACAAAACAGCGUGAGGCUGGAGGAGGGGAGCAUUGCUGGGGGCUCCUGUCCGCUGCCAUGCACUGCGGGCGCCACAGGCACCCUGCUACUAAACCACUAACGGGGCCGGUGCCAGGGAACCUGCCUGCUCCUGGGUGCUUCUGGCUGCUGCGCAUUGUAGUGGAGGGACACUGAAGGAACUGAGUGCUGCAGGAGCCUGGUGGAGAGAAAGCCCUGCACUGCGGGAGCUUACUGCGGGAGCUUGCUGCGUGAGCACUGCCGGCGCUCCCUGCGGGCUCGUGGCCGGAGCUUGGUGCAGGAGCCACGGGAGCCUGGAAGCAAAGCUCUUCCUCCUGCUAUCUCUCCAGCUCCCUCUACUGACAAAGCUCCCGUACCAGCUAGCAAGGAAAACUGUUUACCUCUGUGUGUCACGGAGUAGGCAGUAAAUCGUUCACUGACACAGCCCCUCCCCACCAUGAAAAAUAUCCCAAUAAUACUCUGUGAAGGAAACGAGUGGUUCUGUCAGAGGCCAUAAUUACCACUCUUUUAUGUAUUACCCGAUUUAUAGAAUACCCCUUCUUGAGAAGAGCUGAAGGAAUUGAACAAAGAGCUUCCUACUUAACCCAGUGAACUGCUUUCAUAAAUCAGAGCUCCUUCUGUGACAGAAGAUGGUGAGCUGUGUGGAGGGAGAGAGGGGCAGGGGGAGAACAGGGGACAGGAGAAAAGGAGGAGCGUCCAAAAGGGACUCGGAAGCUGAAGCCCCCGCUGAGUGUCUGUGUGUCUGUGUCUGUGUAGAAUGCCACUAGCAGAUGGUAGCCAGGUCUCCUCUGACCUUAUAUUAUUUCUUUGUGCAUCUUUUUAAAAUCAUGCUUAUGGGAAAACCUGUCAUCGUAGCUAAAAUAGUUCCUUGCCUUUCUGUGUACACCUCACACUGUUUAAAAUUAAAGAGAAGGAACUUAAAAAAAUUUUUUUAAGUUAUUUUUACACAAAACAAUAUGUGUACUAAUUGUUUAAUGAGAAGCUAGCUUGUUCUGUAAAACCUUCAUCUAAAGUACAGUAAUAAAAAUAGAGCAGAGAGGAGGUAAAAAAAAAAAAAUUAUUUUUAGUUCCUUUGCUGGAGCCUGGCCAACAUUUUCUAAUGCUGUUUAAUGAAGUAAAGUAUACACUCAAAGCUUGUUUUAUGUGAAAAAAGAAAAUAACUGACAGUGUCAGUUAGGAAUAUGUAGAUUUAAAUUAGAAAGGGUUAAUUGUUUUCACUUGACUUGAAUGAAAUGUUGCCUCCUGAAAUUCUCUUGAGAAUUUGUUGUCUUUUACCUUAUCGUUGAGGAAGGCAAAUCUCACGUUAAGCUUAGUCACAAAAUAAAAACUCCCACUGACUUCCUCUGCUGACUUAGCUGAAGGUCAGCGUUUGGUGAGCUACCCUGGCUGAGCCAGAACUAAAAUAAGAAUAACUUAGAGACAGAAAGUCUGGUGCUGGUGGCCACCACAUGGUAAAAGGAGCUCAUGGAUACCACUCGGGAGGGUUUCCCUCAUAACCUGGGCCUUCUUCUGAAUUAAUAUUCUUAGCUACAAGCUCUGUUGUUCUAUGUUUAGAAGAGAAGGUUUUCUCAAACUUGAGUGUAUUGUUCAGGACACAGUAUAUCUUUAAAAAAAAAAGACACUUAAGGGUGAGAAUAUGUUAGUAGGUCAGAGCAGGAAUAAAAGGGAGAAGUUAUUUCAACAAAUAGAGGAACUACUACAGAGAUGCUUUCCAUUAAAGGUUUUUGCAAAUUCAAGGAAAAUGGUCUAAUCUGUGAGAGAGAAUUUUAUGAACGUUUUACAUGGAUCAGACACACUGCUUACUUAUGUGGGUGACUAUGGGGAUCUGGUGAGAGAAAACUUGUGAGCUUGUAGAUUUUAAAAUGCAGUGAUUGUAGUUCACUGAGGAGAGAAGUUUGGGUUGGAGUACCUGAGGUGGAGUCAGUUGUCUGUUCCACCUGCCCUGGAGUUUCUGGGGAAGGAAGCCCCUCACCAGUGAGUGCUUGGGAGUGAAGGAUUGGUCCCUGCUUGCCCUGGUUAAAGAGCACUCUGCAGUCCUCCCUUCCUCUGUCCUUCUCAAUCUUGUUGUCUGAAGACUUUUCUUAAGAGAUGCAUUUUGAAUAAUUGUGUACUACAACAGUGCUUGGUACCAUGAAGGGUAUAAAGACUCUCUGGAAGAAGUUUUUACAUUAAAGGGUUUGUGAUGUUUUUCAGGAGAUAAGGAACACCUUUACAAUACGAAAACACAGCAUUACACUUUACUGAGGCCUGACCCACUCACUGAAUAGGAUGUGCAGUGUGGAUUGUAGCUGCCAAAGAGAAGAUCGGUUAGGGCUGAAAUAUGCAAAGAAGGCUUCUUAGAGAAGACAUGGAGGAGGAAUUGGAGGACUGGGCAGGUCUCAGAUAGACAGAACUUUCAGAAAAGGUGGACAGUAGUAUUCAUCCAAAGAUUUUAUGUUUUUUAAACGUAUCACCCAAUACUAGAAAUGUUGAUCAUCAGUGUUAAAUAUGAAACAAUCACCUUGCAGCAAUCCUGUUUUUAUUUAAAAUCACCUGCGUGCAUAUGCAUCUAAAAAGAUGGAGGGCAGAAUGGUUAAGUGCUUGUCUCUGGCGGGGAUAUCCAUGAUUCUUCUCUGCCUUUUCUAAAUUUUCUGUAAUGAGCUAGAUUACUUCUGGGCUGAUGGCGGUGGGGAAGUUCAACUUAAAAAAAAUACUGUCCAAUGAUCCUGUCUCAGAGUUUACUUAUCUUUUCACAUACACAGGGGUUACAGAAACUGAGGGUGCUUCAUUUUUCAAAUAAUUUAUUUCUGCUUUAAACGGUUCUUUUUUGCUGCACAUUCUGCUGCUUUCCCAGUCCCGUUUCGGUGUAUUUCUUCAUAUGAUGGAUUGGCUCUGUGAAGACAGUUUUUUUCAUUGUGGAAGAGACAGUGUGCCUAAUUUAGUUGCAGGUAGUGAGUCAGCUGUGUUGCCUUUGUGUGGAGAGGGGCAGGUGUUACAUGUCUUGAACUCUGUUGAUUUUUCUGUGCGUCAUGAUUCAGGAUGUCUUUUGGUAAAGCUGUCAAUCUCAGAGAGGACCAUGGAGAAAGGGAAGCAUGCUGUGAUGACCUUUGUUUCAGUCUCUCCUCCAUCUUCCCUGGGCUCAGUGUUCUUCACAAGCUGAAGUCUUCUGUGAGUGGAUAUUUCAUUGGUUUGGUAAUGUGGGAAAAUUUUUCUACAAAUCAUCCAGAGAGAGAUGGUAGUUGUCCUUAGGUGCUGUUGAGUCAGUUCCAACUCAUAGCAACCCUCUGUACAACAGAACUGAACACUGCCCGGUCCUGCGCCAUCCUCAUAAUUGUUAUGCUUGAGCCCAUUGUUGCAGCCACUGUGUCAGUCCAUCUUGUUGAGGGCCUUCCUCUUUUUCACUGACCUUCUACUUUACCAAGCAUGACAUCCUUCUCCAGGGACUGGUCCCUCCUGAUAACAUGUCCCAAGUACGUGAGAUGUAGUCUGGCCAUCCUUGCUUCUAAGGAGCAUUCUAGCUGUACGUCUUCCAGGACAGGUUUUUUUGUUCUUCUAGCAGUCCAUGAUACAUUCAGGAUUCUUCACCAACACCAUAAUUCAAAGGCAGCAGUUCUUCAGUCUUCCUUUUUUCUUGUCCAGUUUUUGCGUGCAUAUGAGGUAAUUAAAAAAACAUCAUGGUUUGGGUCAGGCACACCUUAGUCCUCAAAGUGACAUCUUUGCUUUUUAACACUUUAAAAAGGUCUUUUGCAGCAAUGCAUUGUUUGAUUUCUUGACAGCUACUUCCAUGGGCAUUGAUUGUGGAUCCAGGUAAAAUGAAAUCCUUGACAACUUCAGUCUUUUCUCUGUUUGUCAUGAUGUUGCGUAUUGGUCCAGUGGUGAGGAUUUUUGUUUUCUUUAUGUUGAGGUAUGAUCCAUACCGAAGGCUGUAGAAGUGCUUCACCAGAACUAGACCUAUAAGUAGGCUGUCAGCACUUGUGAAAAUGGUUAAGAUUAACUAACUGAGUUAUUGAUAUAACUUGUGCCCGGUAUGGGCAGUUUCAGCCGCUGUUUUGUGUUACGCAGUCCUUGUGUGCGCUGAGGCAGCCGUGCAGAGAUGGCACUGCCUGCUGUGACGCUGUCCCUCGGUGCACCUCUGCCCGAUGGCUUUUUGAAAAGGGCGUUCUUUUCUGCCUGUGGGCUUAUGCAGUAAAAGUAGGACAUUUUUUCUUCAGAUACAAGAGGAAGAAUUUUUGCCUCACCGUCUUUUAUUAGAAGCGCUGUAUUUUCAUUCUUGAUUUCAGGAAUACAAGAGUGCCUGCUCAUUUUUUUCCUGAAAAUUUUAAACCUGAUGAGUUGUGCGUCACUCAUUUUCCUGAGGAGGGAAGUGAAUACACUUGAUAAAAUGUCACAAGGUUUAGGGUGCUUUGAAUCUCUCUCCAUCACCAAAAAUUAAUAUUAAAUUUUACUAAAAUCUUACCCACUCACCAACUUGGUGAGUGGGUAAGAUUUUAAUAAAAUUUAAUGUGUUUCGUGUUGUAAAGAUGUUCCUUAUCUCCUCAAGAACAUCACAAACCCCUUAAUGUAACAACCAGAUGCAAAUAGCCUCCUGCUCACAGCUUCAUUGGAAUUGCUGGACAUUGGUAAGGGUAUUUGGGAUGGUUUGGAGGGCCUGGACUGGGGGCUCCACAGUGUACAGAGGAAUAAUUUAAUUUGCUUUUUAAAUACCUGUUAAGUGAGAAAUUUUUUCACUUGGUCAAUUCAUUUAUUUUUAACAUACAGUAACAAAAGCCAAAAUGCCUCUGCCCUACUUUGCUGAGAGUGCCAAUGAGCAAUACCAGCACAGGCAUGUAAAAAAUGUGCGCUUUUCUUCCUUUUAAACUAGUUUGAGAAAAUCUGUGCGUCUUCUCUCUCACUCUCUUACCCCUUGUUAAUGAGUGUUUUCUUUUUGCUUGUGCAAUCGAAGUAGGAAACAGUUUUAACAGACAAGACAAAAUGGCAUAUUAACUGCAACCUCACAUCCUUUGCUCGCCACCUUUGUCCGUUUCCCCACUGUCUGUUGAAGGAAAACACAGUGCAUUUGUCCUGGAAGCUGGAAAAUGGGAAGGAACUUUCCAACUCCAUUAUUUUUACUUGCAUGUCAUGCUUGUUUUGUUUUUGGUAGUCUGGGGAAAUUGAGAUUAAAUUUUCCAUUUGAGUGGGUUAGAGAAUCACAAUGAAAAUAAUUCAUGUUUCAUUUGGUAAUUUAACCAGACUGUCUCUCAACACUUUGAAUAUCCCAGUAUGACACAGAAGGCUUUGACUGAAGUCAUUCUAGUAGUUGUUAUUGCCAAGUACCUGGUUUAGUGAUCUGUUAUGCAAAUCUGUUUGUGGAAUGGGGUAAAACAAGAGUAGCAUGGCCCUUUUGCUUUAUAAGAGUCCUGUGGUUUAGAGGCAGUUGGUCAAAAUGUUCAGCUUCUCUUUUAAAACCCCAUAGAUGAAAUAUUUGGUAAUGGUGCACAUAAUUCAAUUGUUGCUUUUUUAAAAAAAAAUAAAAAAUACUAUUUUUUUUAAAGAGCUGCCUUUUGGUUUUGGCAGUUCUGCUCAUGAUUAUAUCCAGGCUUUAAGUAUUUGAGCUCCUGGAAAUAGCAGCAAUUUUUUUGGUAUGGUAUCUCUAAGUAGGUUACUUAUCUUGGACUUGUGACUUAUUAUCAAAGAUGGAAUUUGUUUUGGCAGAAAUGAUGGCGUUAGCUAGACUGAUGGAAUCUGAAGCACUGCAGCAUUCCUUGCAGACCAUCAGAGUGAGCCAAUGUAACGUCAGAUACACCGUGUACGGCCAGACUCUGUCCGGGUAGAUCAGUAACGUAACGUCAGAUAUACCGCGUACGGCCAGACUCUGUCCCGGUAGAUCAGUAACGUAACGUCAGAUACACCGCGUGUGGCCAGACUCUGUCCCAGUAGAUCGAGCCUUCAGUAAGUGGUAGGGCUUGGCACACAGUAGGUGAUCAGAAGAUGUUGAGUUUAUGAAAUAUAAAUCUGUCUGCUUUGAAUGGUUAGAGGGGCUGUUUGAGGUUCAGACCCAUCUUCUGAAAUCUUCCAAAACCCCCAAUUAGCCAUGGUGGUAAGGAGUGCUAAUCAGAUUAUAGAACCUCGUGGGAGGAACCUGAAGGGAAACCGGGGCCUAAGGCAACCCUAGUUCUUCAGGCCAGAAAAGUACUUAGGUGUUUGGAGAAGCCUUCUGAGAGGCCCCACUGUUGAGACAAAACUGGCUUUUUUGACAGGAGCUUCCCACUCUGCCACCAUUGCUAUUCUGACGCACCGCUGUGGUGUCAGUAGGAGUUUCAGUCCAGGGAGUUCAGAUAAAUAAUUUUCUCAAGGUUACAGUUACAGGCUAGAGGGAUUGUUUGCAUUUCUUCGAGUGACAUUACUAAGUGCCAGAAAUGGUUUAAAAGUAACAAAACGCCUGAAUCUAAAGCCUGAGCACUGGUAUUUUUUUGACCUUAAAUUAUUGCUUAUCCUCUUGGAAAAAGAGUACACAUACAUUUCUCUUAGCUCUGCUCUGUGGUGGCUAAAUAAAACACGUGGCCGACUGAGCCUACAGUAUGCUUCUGGGAGAACAUGCCCCCUAACCUUUCAGACCUGGUGUCGCAGUGGUUAAGAGCUCUGCCCCUAACCAAAAGGUCAGCAGUUUGAUUCCACCAGCUGCUCCUCGGAAACCCUGUGGGCCAGUUCUACUCCAUCUGUAGUGUCGCUGUGAGUCAGAAUCAACUCAAUGGCAACGGGUUUGGUUUUUUUGGUUUGGAACCUUUCAGUGACCGCAGUGUUACUGAUCCUUACUCAGGACACCGGGGGCGUACAAAAGAAUCGUGUUCAUUCAGCACUGGUUAUGGAAUUAAAAAUCUGUAUCAUUAUAUGCUUGCAUAUUGGAAGAAACCAUGUAUACUGUUUCCACAGAGGUUAUAUACAGUCACAGAGGCUGUGACUUUUAGUCACUCGUUUAUUCAUUUAACAAAUACCUCCAGUGGUGGGCUAGACACUUCUGGUAUACCUCUUUAGAUCCGUUGUAAGCACAUAGUGAGUUUCAUAUGUUCAGAGAUGAUGUAACAUAAUAUAAAUAAGUAAACAAUGUGAUAAUGUAAAAAACAAAGACUUUUUAAGAAACUAUAGACGUUCCCAGAAGAGCUGCUAAAGAAAGGGCAGCAGCCUAUUUGUGCUGUCAUUAAAAAAAAAUGGCUGUCAUUAGGUAGCUAAAAUGUCAGAGCUUCCUUAGCCUGACAACUGCAGUGGACGGACAGAGCUCUCGUGAUUUGCCUUGAUCCGCAUUUUAGUUCCUUUGUCGUUCCAGGGUAAGCAGUAUGUGUGAGGCACAGAGAAUCUUUCUGCCUGAGGCACAGAGAAUCCUUCUGCUUGCUUUAUCUACCUUGACAGUAAAUGGGUUAGGGUCCUUUGCUCUUAGGGAGAGGUUAAUGGGAAGGAGAUGUAUAAUACAAGAUCUGGCUUUUUCUGUCCUGUCUUUUCUUCCUGCAGAGCCUCAGUCUCUCCUCUCACUCCUGCUUCCCAGUUAGCAUGUCUCUUGAUGAUAAAUGAAAAUGAAAGGAGGAAAGAAUAAGAUCUGGUAAAAUUGUAAGCUGAGAAACAGAGCCACACAUCUGUCUUACACCCACAUAAAUGCUGUUCUCGUUGAUAAAACUGACUGAUUAAACAGUUUUAAGAUGUUUUCGUAGUAUAUGAUAGCUUUGAUCAGAAAGCUCAUUCAUAUUAAGGUGACGUCUGUUGAAGAGUUCUAUUUAAAGUAUCUGUGUGCCAUGUAUUCUCAUUAACAUAAUCCCAGCUCCAAGUAGAGGAAACCAGAAAAAAGGGAAGGUCUCCUGCUUGCUUCCUCUUGCACAUGGUGUUCUCUAAGUAGCAUAACUUGAAGAGGCAAGAGAAUUUUUACUAAAUUGCCAGCACUGAUGUGAUUUAGCAGAAGGACAUUAUAGAACUAUCUUGGUUGAAGAUGUGGAACAGUUUAGUGGCUGAUGGGGGUUAGGAUUUUAUUCCUGUUCAAGCCACGGUCCUCUUCUGAUGGCUUUCAACUAGUAAGAACUGUGUGCUUGGCAGACUCAGAACACAAAAACAAAAUACAAACUAAAAAUAAUUUUGCUUUAUUCUUAACUUAAUGUCUUAUGAUCAAGAAUCAAAGAAAAAAAAUUUUAGUAACCUCUUUAGUUUCAUCAAAGGGGCAGUUAAGAUUAGUAGAAUACACACACAUCAUUCAUUUUACACCUCUGUAAUAUUUGAAAUUCUUCCUAAUACAUGUGUUACUUUUCUUCCCCUUCCUGUCAAUAAGGAUUAUCUGUACUUAUUUGUGUGUGUGUGUAUAUGCACACAAAAGACAUACAUACCUAGUAAAAAUUGGGAUCACACAUCUAUUAGAACAGCUAAAAUAAAAAUAAUGACAAUACCAAAUGUUGAUGACUAUGUGGAGAAACUAGAUCUCUCCAGUAUUGCUGAUGGGAAUGUAAAAUGAUACAGCCACUCUGGAAGAUAGUUCAGUUUUUUAAAAAAACUAAAUAUAAAUUUAGCAUACAACCCAACAGUUACACUCCCAGGCAUUUAUCCCAGAAAAAUGAAAGCACAUUCAUGCAGAAACUUGUACACAGAUGUUCAUAGCAGCUUUAUGCCCAGUAGCCAAAACUGGAAACUGCUGGUACCUAAAUGUCCUUCUAUGGGUGAAUGGUUAACUAACUAUGGUACAUCUAUACCGUAGAAUACUACUGAGCAAUAAAAAAAAAAAAAAAAAGGGUGCAAAGUGUUGAUACACACAACUUAGAUGCACCUCAAGGAAGCUCAUGCUAAGCAAAAAAAGCCCAUCUUAAAAGGUCACGUUGUGUAAUUCCACUUAUAUAACAUUCUGUAAAUGACGAAAUCAUAUAGAUGGAAAACAGAUAAGUGGUUGCCGGAGGUUAGGGAUGAGGGAACAGCAGUGUGCAUGAUGUGACUAUCAAGGUAUAAAUCGUUCUGUAUCUUGGUUGUGGUCGUGAUUACAGGACUGUACACAUGGGAUAAAAUGACCUAGAACUAUACACACACGUUGUACUGAUGUCAGAUUCCUGGUUUUGAUGUUGUACCAUGAUUACGUAAGAUGUAGUCCUUGGGGGAAAUUGAGAGAAGGGCACAUGGGACCUCUCUGUGCUAUCUUUGCAACUUCCUAUGACUAUAAUUAUUUUGAGACAAAAAGUUAAAAAUAUUUGCAGACCUUUUGCAUUAUUUUUAGUUCCUUGGCACAUGAGAGAUUUCAUUGAAGAGUUAUAUGUUCAUGAACCAUUGACUUUUUUCAUAAUUUUACUUUCUGUUUCAUAAAAAUUAGACUAGUUGUUAUGAAGUAAGAUAAUUUUUUUUUUGAACUGCUGACUCAAAGUGCAUGGCAGACUUGUACAGCUAAUUUGCUCUUUUAUUAUUUCCCCUAGCUAGAUUAAAUAAAUGGAUUAUUACUCCCCCCCACCCCACCCCACUUUAAGGAGCCCUGGUGAUGCAGUGAUUAAGCCCUCAGCUGCUAACUGAAAGGUCAGUGAUUCAAACCCACCAGUGGCUCUGCACAAGAAAGACCUGGAGAUCUGUUCCCGUAAAGGUUACAGCCGAGGAAAACCCUAUGUGGCAGUUCUACUCUGUCAUACAGUGUUGCUAGGAGUCAGAAACCACACCAAGCACACAAUAGCAGCAACCCCCACUGUCCUCACUCAGCGACCACUGAGUGCCUGCUAAGUGCUAGACUCUGUUCAAGGGGCUAUAGAUCCAGACGUGAACAGGACAAAUGUCCUGCCCUCAUGGAGCUUACAUUUUUGGUAUGUGAAGUGAGGCUGAAAGAAGGCAAAGAGUUUGUCCCCAUCUGCCCUGGUGUUCUGUUUGAACUACAGGGAAAGAGAAGUCAGCCGGUGACUGCUUCAGUGUUGCACCUCUAGGUUGAUGUCUCCAGGUAGCAGUAGCUCAGUGUGGAUGGAGUAUUUUGGAUCUGACAGUAGGAUAACAGGGUUUGGAAUCACUGGAGCUAGUAUAGAAUAGGAAGUGUGUAGAAUAUUGUAAGGAAGACAAACAGACAGCCUAAUAGCUUCAGGCCUGAGGUGUAGUCCUCUAUAUCAGUUGCUGGAAGCAUCAGCAUAGGAUGAGUUUCACAAGGAGGUAAAAAACAAAACAAAACAUCGGACUUGGAACCUUCCGCUUACUAGCUGGGUGACUUUGAGGACGUUACUUAGCCUCUCUGAGAAGAUAAUGGGAGUCUUAUUUUUUAUGCAGGAUGAAUGAACUCUGUAUGAAAGUUCAUUGUAAACUGAAAAGUUGGAAAGAUUAGUGUGGAGAGCACAGUGGUGGUGGGGCGCCUUACUUUUUUUACCAUUAAAUCAUUGUCUAGAAUCUUCUCCCUGGAGAGGACAAGUCCCCAUGUUCCUGGAACUGGCCCCAGUACACGCUAGAAUGGAUAAUCAAAGAUAAUGGAAAUAAAAAUUGAUUCUGAGUUUUGAAGAGAGGAGCGUCUUAGGUGAAAUAGAAAUGUAAAUAGAAGAUGAUUAGGUUAACUGUGAAGGGAAGUAUCUUGGCAAAACCCGUGUGGUACCCCACCCUCUACCAUGCUACCCCUAGUUCUGUGCAUUAUGUUUCUGGUCUGAGAGUCAAGGUGUUUAUGUGUGUAUCUGUGUCUGUCUGUGUAUCUGUCUCUGUCUGUCUCUCUCUUUCCUCCCCUGACUCCUCUCUCUUAUCCACAUGGUCAUUGUAAAAACAAAAAUUGGAAAAUGUAGGUAAGUGAAAGGAGAAAAUAAAAGCCUAUUUAAAAAUGGUGAUUCCCUCACUCCAUCAUCCUUAGGCUUGUCAUGGGCAGCCUCUGAGCACCCAGCCUUUGAGUUCCUGACCAGUCCUCUGAGAUCUUUAGGGUUCAAAGUAGGUAGCUUUAGUCUUAUUUUCUGCUUCUAGUCACAUUUUGUCCCACUCCCUAACCUUUUCUAGUCAACCUGUUUGCUCCCUAGUAAUUAUUUUUAAUGAUUUUCCCACGAGAGGAUUAAAAACGUAGACUCAGAAUCAGACUACCUUGGCUUUAAUUCUUGGCUUUCCGGGGGUUGUUUAACACCUCGGGCCUCAGAUAUGAGCCCUGGUGGCACACUGGUUAAAGUGCUCAGCUGCUAACCGACUGGUGGUCCGUUCAAACCCACCAGCCACUCCACCAGAGAAAGAUUCCAGCUUUGGAAACCUUAUGGGGAAGUCUUGCUCUGUCCUGUAGGGUUGCUGUGAGUCAGAAUUGAUUCGAAAGCAGUGGGUUUGGUUUUGGGUUUUGGUGCCUCAGUUUUCUCAUCUGCAAAUAAAACUUCCUUCAAAGGAAUGUGUGGUAAAGAUUAAAUGAUGAGUGUUUAUUGAACAGUGAGCACUUAUUAACUCCCAAGUAUUUAUAAUUAUUUCUAGAGAGUCUCAGCUGCAUUUUCCCGUUUGCUGCUGGUUUCAUGGCUUUCCUGUGUCUAUAGUGACCUGCUCUGCUGAUCGUUGUUCCCGUUGCCUGUUGCUCUAGAUUUUCUUUUACAGACUCCCCUUGGUACCUUGAUUUUGCUGGGUUGGCGCCUUGGUACUGAGGGGACUAGGGCUUUAGAAAGAUUCUGAACCCACUUGUUGCCCGUGACACACAUCAUCAUCAUCACUGCUAAUCCUAAUAAUUCUGUAAGAUGUCCCAAACCAAACCACUGCUGUCCAGUCGGUUCCGACUCACAGCAACCCUGUGGUGUGGAAUGACUAUAGCAAAAACACCAUAACAUUCUUUAAUGAAUAGUACACUUAAUGACAUCCUUAGUUAUGAUAAAGACCCAGAACUUUGGCUCACCUGAGUUACAGUAUUAGCUGGAAAUCAGUAGAAAAAAAUGUUAUAACUGAAUUCCACCUCUUUUCUGUUUCCACUUGAGUCCAUUCGUUGCGCCACAUUACUGAGCUCUCACCUGUGCACCAGGAGUACUGGGAUAAAUAGAAGUGAAAACAGCCCUUAAUUUCAGGGACUCACUGCCUAGUGGGGGGAAGCCGAUAAAGAGGCACCUGUGGUAAGUAUGCCCUGAAAUUAUGGUCAGAGAAGCUCGGUUUCCCCUGCCCUUCAGAGUGUACCAGCGCCAUGAGCAUCACCGGGGGGCUUAUUAGAAAUGCAGGAUUUCUGGGGAAUGUUUACAAGCUCUCCAGCAGAUUCUUAUGCCCACCAAAGUUGAGAAGCACAGUGUUAGUCUUGUUUAAGCCUGUUAACAAAUACCCAGGACAUGUGGACAUUUCUUUCUCUUGAAGUCCUAUGGAACAGGCCUCUAUUGCUGUGGUGUAGUGUUUACGGGCACAGUCCGCUGCGGAGGCUGUGUUACUGCUUUGUGGAAUGUUUUCCUGAGCUUCCAGAAAGUCUCAGUAAAUCAGGACCUUCAUGCUGGCUGACGGCCUUGCUGCCGGAGCUCUUAACUUGAAGCUCUAGUAGAGACCCUGGCAAGCCUGGCGGGCUGACGUACGUGGGAAUAGUGGGAGUGACCCCUGGCUGGGAAGUGGGGGAGUCCUAGAUAUUGUUUCUCCUGCUUCUGUGCCCUGCCGCUCUUUUCCCUGGGCUCAGUGCUCUCAAGCCCUCCAGGAUGGCGCUCCCGGGCAGAGUGCGUCCCUGUGCUAUCCCAGAGAAUGAAGAAAUCCCCCAGACUGUGCUUAACAACGCCCACGAGGCUAAUGGGAACGAAGACGAGAGGGCUGUGUCCAAACUGCAGCGCAGGCACAGUGACGUAAAAGUCUACAAGGAGUUUUGUGACUUUUAUGCGAAAUUCAACAUGGCCAAUGCCCUGGCCAGUGCUACCUGUGAGCGCUGUAAGGGCGGGUUCGCGCCUGCUGAGAAGAUCGUGAACAGUAAUGGCGAGCUGUACCAUGAGCAGUGCUUUGUGUGUGCACAGUGCUUCCAGCAGUUCCCAGAAGGACUUUUCUAUGAGGACAAGGGAAGAUAAGUGUACCAUCGUUGGAUGGUUCAUCACUCAAGUAUUUGUAAUGAAGAUAAUACCCUCAUUAAUCAGAAAGCAAGACUAUAUCAGAAGGUAGUGGCGAACAUGUUAAAACAACAACUGUGGUAUCACUUUCCACCACCACCACCAAGACUUGAGAUGUUCCUCCCCAGUUUUAUUUUGAAGGAAGGAAGUAUUGUGAAC